CAAAAUGAUUAAUAUGGUGAUUAUUACUUCAAGGAAAUAAUAAAGAAAUGAUCAUAAAUGUUCUUCCUUGAGCUGCGUCACCCCGCUGUAGUCUGUAAUGGACUGGCCUGAGGUCUCUCUACAAACAAGCGGCUGCUGGAAGAGAGUAGGUGAAUUGUGUUUAGUCUCUUUGCUAAAGAAAUUAGUUAAAGUUAAAAAGAUGUUUGGUGUCUAGUACUAUGUCUGUGACCCUAUAUGUCCAGUUGAUGAAGUUAGGUGCUGUUCUGAGCAUUAUUUGUGGCUAUAGAGUGCCGUUUUGGUUGAGGUUUGUUUAUGGCUCCUCAGACCGCUGUGUAUUGCUAUCAUGCGGUCGUUACUAAAGUUGGUAUAA